rnacentral:rRNA from 1 species
AGUGAACGCUGGCGGUAGGCCUAACACAUGCCAGUCGAACGGCAGCACAGUAAGAGCUUGCUCUUACGGGUGGCGAGUGGCGGACGGGUGAGGAAUACAUCGGAAUCUACUUUUUCGUGGGGGAUAACGUAGGGAAACUUACGCUAAUACCGCAUACGACCUACGGGUGAAAGCAGGGGAUCUUCGGACCUUGCGCGAUUGAAUGAGCCGAUGUCGGAUUAGCUAGUUGGCGAGGUAAAGGCCCACCAAGGCGACGAUGCGUAGCUGGUCUGAGAGGAUGAUCAGACACACGGGAACUGAGACACGGUCAAGAAUACUACGGGAGGCAGCCGUGGGGAAUAGUGCAGAAUGGGCGAAAGCCUGACGGAGCAAUGCCGAGUGAGUGAAGAAGGUCUUCGGAUCGUAAAGCUCUGUUAUUAGGUAAGAACAAAUGUGUACGUAAAUAUGCACGUCUUGACGGUACAUAAUGAGAAAGCAACGGCUAACUACGUG